rnacentral:rRNA from 1 species
UACGUAGGGGGCAAGCGUUGUCCGGAUUCAUUGGGCGUAAAGAGCGUGUAGGCGGCCAGGUAGGUCGGUUGUGAAAACUGGAGGCUCAACCUUCAGAGGUCGACCGAAACCAUCUGGCUAGAGUCCGGGAGAGGAGAGUGGAAUUCCUGGUGUAGCGGUGAAAUGCGCAGAUAUCAGGAAGAACACCAGUGGCGAAGGCGACUUACUGGACACAUAUUGACGCUGAGGUGCGAAAGCGUGGGGAUCAAACAGG